UACGGGGGGGGUAAGCGUUGUUCGGAAUUACUGGGCGUAAAGGGCUCGUAGGCGGCCAACUAAGUCGGACGUGAAAUCCCUCAGCUUAACUGGGGAACUGCGUCCGAUACUGGAUGGCUUGGAUUUGGGAGAGGGAUGCGGAAUUCCAGGUGUAGCGGUGAAAUGCGUAGAUAUCUGGAGGAACACCGGUGGCGAAGGCGGCAUCCUGGACCGAUACUGACGCUGAGGCGCGAAAGCCAGGGGAGCAAACGGG
rnacentral:rRNA from 1 species